UACAGAGGGGGCAAGCGUUAUUCGGAAUUAUUGGGCGUAAAGAGCUCGUAGGCGGUCUGUCGCGUCCGUUGUGAAAACUCGAGGCUCAACCUCGGGCUUGCAGUGGAUACGGGCAGACUAGAGUGCGGUAGGGGAGACUGGAAUUCCUGGUGUAGCGGUGGAAUGCGCAGAUAUCAGGAGGAACACCGAUGGCGAAGGCAGGUCUCUGGGCCGCAACUGACGCUGAGGAGCGAAAGCGUGGGGAGCGAACAGG
rnacentral:rRNA from 1 species